AAUAUCAACAAAGAUAAGAAACAAAAACUGUUACUGCAACCUUAUUAGGUUCUUCCCUGAAGAUAAUACCGAUUAACGAAUGGAUUGAAGAAUACAAGUAGGACAUCGUUGAUUAGAUUUCAGUAAACCUACUUAAAUUACAUAUAAAUACGACGCUUGUAAGCUAACAAUCAUAUUCUUUACAAGUUGUCUAGACUGAUUAAAAUAAACUCAUAAAUAAACAUGAAGCUUUUACUCGUUGCAAUCUUUGCCGCUCUCGUCUGCAUCACACAGGCUUCCCCUAUUGAAAGCCAGGAUGUAGAGAUACCAGAACUGGCAGCAGAUGCCAUGGAACCAAUGGAGAUGUUGAACGGCGCUCGUCAACGAAUCUGCACGGCCGCGUUGUGUCAAUCUGUGUGCAGGAGUCUGGGAUGGCGCACGGGCAGCUGCAACGCGCAACUAUUGUGCAUCUGCAGACGCUAACUCAUUAAUUUAGAUUUUAAAUCAUAAGUCUUAUGUUAAUUAUUGUAUAAUAAAUUUUUA